rnacentral:tRNA from 2 species
GGCCUUAUCGUCUAACGGUUAGGACAGCGCCUUCUCAAGGCGUAAAUCAGGGUUCGAUUCCCUGUAAGGUCA